rnacentral:rRNA from 1 species
UAGAGUUUGAUCUUGGCUCAGGACGAACGUUGGCGGUGCGCCUAAUGCAUGCAAGUCGAACGGGCGAAGGGACUUCGGUCCCCUAGCUAGUGGCAGACGGCUGAGUAACACGUAAAUGAUCUGCCCCGAAGUGAGGGACAACCCCGAGAAAUCGGGCCUAAUACCUCGUAAGUUCAUUGGAUCACGGUCCAGUGAAGAAAGGUUUCGGCCACUUUGGGAGGAGUUUGCGGCCUAUCAGGUAGUUGGUGGGGUAAUAGCCUACCAAGCCGAAGACGGGUAACCGGUGUGAGAGCACGAUCGGUCAGAGGGGGACUGAGACACGGCCCCCACUCCUACGGGAGGCAGCAGCAGGGAAUCUUGCACAAUGGACGAAAGUCUGAUGCAGCGACACCGCGUGAGGGAAGAAGGCCUUCGGGUUGUAAACCUCUUUUAUCAGGGAAGAGUAAGGACUGUACCUGACGAAUAAGGACCGGCUAACUACGUGCCAGCAGCCGCGGUAAUACGUAGGGUUCAAACGUUGUCCGGAUUUACUGGGCGUAAAGAGCGCGUAGGCGGUUUGUUAAGUCUCAUGUGAAAUCUCCCGGCUCAACUGGGAGGGGUCAUGGGAAACUGGCAGGCUUGAGGGUAGCAGAGGAAAGCGGAAUUCCCGGAGUAGUGGUGAAAUGCGUAGAUACCGGGAGGAACACCAGAGGCGAUGGCGGCUCUCUGGGCUAUGCCUGACGCUGAGGCGCGAAAGCGUGGGGAGCAAACCGGAUUAGAUACCCGGGUAGUCCACGCCCUAAACGAUGGAUA